rnacentral:misc_RNA from 1 species
AUUUAUCCUUGACAGUCGUCGGACUUGCCUGGUUUUUCGCCAUACGGUUCAACCUAUACCUACGCUGUGCUGCGAAAUUCGUAUAAAGGCUUCCAAUCAGUCGCCACGGUGGCUAAUUCGUCGCAGUACUCAUUCAACUCUCAUUGUCAAUCAGGAAGGGCAGAAGUUACACAGUAUCGCACAAUUCGUUUACAGGUACUCUGAGAUGCUGUCGCCGCAGUUAUGACCCCC